rnacentral:lncRNA from 1 species
AUUGUGAUGCAAACAGUGAGGGAACAAGCUAACAGUCAUUUUACAGCUAAAGCUGGUUAAACAUACACACACAAAAUAAAAGCAGAAGCCCCACUGUUUAGAGAGUCCAGGCAACCACCAGUCCAUCUGCCUCAACAACCAGGCCACUCAAAAGCCUCAUUUCAAGGGCAAAACAUCAGAAAGGAGGAGCAAUGCAAAAGGCAAAAAAGGCUGACACAGAGCAUCCAAGAGAUGAACUCUGGGGCAUCACACUGCAUUUUCCUACCCAGCCCAAGCCAGCCAUUCCUUCACCGAUGUGACCUAGGCUAG